ACAAUAGAAAUAAUGUUGCUGCCUUAGCCCU
rnacentral:piRNA from 1 species